rnacentral:rRNA from 1 species
UCUACGGGAGGCAGCAGUGGGGAAUAUUGCACAAUGGGCGCAAGCCUGAUGCAGCCAUGCCGCGUGUGUGAAGAAGGCCUUCGGGUUGUAAAGCACUUUCAGCGGGGAGGAAGGCGGUGAGGUUAAUAACCUCAUCGAUUGACGUUACCCGCAGAAGAAGCACCGGCUAACUCCGUGCCAGCAGCCGCGGUAAUA